rnacentral:lncRNA from 1 species
AAGUAUUAUAAAAUCUUCCUAUGUAUCUAUUCAAAACUUUUCUCUCAAUGUUGUGUUUUAUACAUACGCCUUGAACCAUUCCUGCUUAUAUCAUAGUUUUCAUAAUUUAUAAAAAAUUCAUAACUUAUCAUGUCAUAACUGAUAGUUACCAAGUGAGCCAAAUUCUCCCCAUGAAAUCUGUUUUGGAGAAUUUCAAUAUUGUUCUAGGGGAAGAUGAACCAGUGCCUUUGAAUGAAAUACAAUUUAAAAACACUUUCUAGGGGCGCCUGGGUGGCGCAGUCGGUUAAGCGUCCGACUUCAGCCAGGUCACGAUCUCGUGGUCCGGGAGUUCGAGCCCCGCGUCGGGCUCUGGGCUGAUGGCUCAGAGCCUGGAGCCUGUUUCAGAUUCUGUGUCUCUCUCUCUCUCUGCCCCUCCCCCUUUCGUGCUCUGUCUCUCUCUGUCCCAAAAAUAAAUAAACGUUGAAAAAAAAUUAAAAAAAAAUAAAAACACUUUCUAGAAUAUUUAUUAAAAUGUGCUAUUUUUAAGUGAUGUACCACUGUUGAUUGCCUCCUCAGCCCUUAUUUCCUUCUCAUAAUUCUUCACAGAACCCCAGUUUUGUUCAUGUGUCCUCUUGUCCCUCACAUAACCCUUGCAACUCAUGUCCCUCACAUAACCCUUGCAACCUUCUCUUUUUUUCAGCUCCUGGAAAAGAUCCUGAUGAAUCAAAGCCGGAUCGUUUUAGGAAUCCAGUUUCAGACCUUCCCCGAACCAAGAUAUAUUCCCCAUCAACCUUGAAGAAGCAAGUAGCCAUCAGUUCCACAGCAGCAGAGAGAUGGAAUUUACCAACAACCAUUAAACUUGGAAAAGGACCUUGGACCUCAGACGAGACUGUAGUCCUGACUGACACCCUGCCUGCAAUCUUGGGAGAUCCUGAGCAGAAGACCCAGCUAAGUAAGUUGUGUCUAGACUUCUGAUCUAUAGCAAUUAUGAAAUGAUAAAUGGGUGUUGUUUUAUACCAGUAAGUUUGUGGUAAUUUGUUACCCCCCCCCAAGAGACAGCUAAUAUACCUCUACUUUUGGUCUCUUGGAUACUUGCUUUUGGAACCUAGCUGCUGUGAUGUGAGAAGCCCAGGUCAUAUAGAAAGCCCUACUAUGCUCACAGCCAGUAGCCAGCAUCAGUUGCUAGUCACGGGAGGGUGGCACGUUGGCCACCCAAGUCAGCCUGGUUUCACUACAACUGCCAACAAGACCCCACACGGGAGCCAUCCAGCUGUGCUCAGUGAAUUCACAGAAAUGUGAG